rnacentral:lncRNA from 1 species
CCACCCAGGGCUCAGAGUGCAUCACCUCCGCCAGCUUUGAUGUGGACAUCGAGAACUUUGUCCACCAGCAGGAGCAGGAACACAAACCCUUCUUCAGCGAUGACCCAGAACUGGACAAUCUGAUGGUGAAGGCGAUCCAGGUCCUGAGGAUCCACCUGCUAGAGUUGGAAAAAGUCAAUGAACUCUGCAAGGACUUUUGCAACCGUUAUAUCACCUGCCUCAAAACCAAGAUGCACAGCGAUAACCUGCUCAGGAAUGACCUCGGGGGGCCCUACUCCCCCAACCAGCCCUCCAUAAACCUUCACUCACAGGACCUCCUGCAGAAUUCCCCCAAUUCCAUGUCUGGAGUCUCCAAUAACCCCCAGGGAAUUGUGGUCCCAGCCUCA